GACGAACGCUGGCGGCGUGCUUAACACAUGCAAGUCGAACGGAAAGGCCUGCUUUCCCUUGUGGAUUGCGGGUACUCGAGUGGCGAACGGAUGAGUAACACGUGAGUGAUCUGCCCCCAACUUGGGUAUAAGCCUGGGAAACUGGGUCUAAUUCCCGAUAGGACUGCAGGGUGGUGCCUGUGGUGGAAAACGAUUUUCUAGUGGUUGGGGAUGAGCUCGCGGCCUAUCAGCUUGUUGGUGGGGUAAUGGCCUACCAAGGCGGCGACGGGUAGCCGGCCUGGGAGGGUGGACGGCCACAUUGGGACUGAGAUACGGCCCAGACUCCUACGGGAGGCAGCAGUGGGGAAUAUUGCACAAUGGGCGGAAGCCUGAUGCAGCGACGCCGCGUGGGGGAUGACGGCCUUCGGGUUGUAAACUCCUUUCGACCGCGAGGAAGCCACCUGGUUGGAAGGGUGGUGACGGUAGUGGUAGAAGAAGCACCGGCUAACUACGUG
rnacentral:rRNA from 1 species